rnacentral:lncRNA from 1 species
UGAUGUGCAACCUCGUAUUUUGCUGUGCGCAGUAUCAAGCUAUCCAUCCAAGCUACGGGUGGAAAUUUUGGAAAACUGGAGGGUUGCCUGCUUGGUAGGCAGACUCAAUUCGGGGCUUAUAUUGGGCCAAUGGAUAACUUUGUUGCCUCUGAACUCUAUUGUAGUACAGUUUCACCCAUGCUCCUGAGUGUCUCCUCCUCCGGCAUUUUACUUCUCUUUGUACUGCGACUGCGAUAUGUAACAUUGUGGGAGGUAGUUGUAGCGGCCAGAAAAGUAGAUCCUGUAAGAGCAGAACAAUUGUUCCAGGAACAGUUUGUUCCGUUUCUCACCCAGUACAGCUCUGGCUUCCAUUAUUGUUUAGCUUACCCUGUGUAUUUCGACGGGAUCCCUAUAUAUAUUUUGAUGUUUAACCCUGUGCGCGUUGUGUAAAAUUUGUGCUGCUCAAAUCUUGCGUUGCAACUAGCGAU